UACGUAGGGCGCAAGCGUUGUCCGGAAUUAUUGGGCGUAAAGAGCUCGUAGGCGGCCUGUUGCGUCCGCUGUGAAAUCCCGGGGCUCAACCCCGGGCCUGCAGUGGAUACGGGCUGGCUAGAGGCAGGCAGGGGAGAACGGAAUUCCUGGUGUAGCGGUGAAAUGCGCAGAUAUCAGGAGGAACACCUGUGGCGAAAGCGGCUCACUGGACCAUAACUGACGCUGAUGCACGAAAGCUAGGGGAGCAAACAGG
rnacentral:rRNA from 1 species